CCCCUUCCCUCCUCUGGAACUUUCCCUCUGGCCCUCUUAAAAUGGCUAACCUGUGGACACCUGGAAACGCGUUGGGGAAACUCUGUAUCUCAGAGCCCUGAAUUGCCUAUAAGAAGCACCUGUUGAUAAUGAGGCUCAUCAACUCCUUAGCCAACUAACUGAUUUUAAAAAGUGAGCGAGCCCUCCCGCCCCUCUACGUGCGCUCAAGUGAGGCCCUCCCCCUGUGCAUCGUGCUACAGGAACAUCAUUUCCAAAGAAGGGCUGAACCCAGUCAGAGCAAAGCCCAGGUGAAAAGCCUCUUACACAAAACGUAAAGAAGAAAAGAAGCAGAGGCAGCCUCCAUCCACCCCCAACUCCACCCAAAGCCCGUGGGCUCGGCCAGGCCAGGACUUCUUCCCUCCCUCCCUCCCUCCUUCUGCUGAGGAGUCAGAAUUCCUUGCAUCUCUGCGCCGGUCUCCGCAGACCUUGCAAGGCAGGUGCUGUGAGUUUCUUAAGAUCAGGGCUCACAGUUCGACUCUGGAUUUCAGAAGUGCUUCCACUUUCAGCCUCUAGGACAGCUGCCUCCUCUUCCUCGUCCUCAUCCACCACGGGGGCUGCCUGGUCAAUUUUGAAGGUCUUGGUUGCCUGCACCCUGAUCCUCUCCUGGGCAUCACAGAGGUCUCAGCCCCACAACUUCAUCUCCUGCCCGGAGACACCAUGGAAAUUUGACAGCUUCGUGUUGCGGGGCAGACACUGACGAUGUUGAACAAAGAAACCAAAAUCCGUCCUCAUCUUGCUGGGACCAACAAGCAGCCUGGAGCCUGAAGGGCCCGGAGCCGGCAGUGGAGACCAGGAGGGAACUUGGAACAAGAAGGCAGAUUUGGAGCAUAACCAAUUGGCCCCUCCAGUCAACUCAUGGAUGAAGAUCUUCAUCAACGUAGGUCAACAGUACCGUCUAGGAAGUGCCAACUCAUAUCCAAGCCCUUCAGAAAUAAUGUAUAAACCUUCUUGACCAGGUGUCUACGUGGGCCGGCCCUGGGCGUUUUAAGAUGCUCUCACCCCAGGAGCAGGACGUCCAGAGAGAUCCACCACAGGUUUAUUUUGGACU